CCAGACUCAUACGGGAGGCAGCAGCUAAGAAUAUUCCGCAAUGGACGGAAGUCUGACGGAGCGACGCCGCGUGGAUGAAGAAGGCUGAAAAGUUGUAAAAUCCUUUUGUUGAUGAAGAAUAAGGGGAAGAGGGAAUGCUUCUCUGAUGACGGUAAUCGACGAAUAAGCCCCGGCUAAUUACGUGCCAGCAGCCGCGGUAACACGUAAGGGGCGAGCGUUGUUCGGAAUUAUUGGGCGUAAAGGGCAUGUAGGCGGCUAUGUAAGCCUGAUGUGAAAUCCUGGGGCUUAACCCUAGAAUAGCAUUGGGUACUGUAUAGCUUGAAUUACGGAAGGGAAACUGGAAUUCCAAGUGUAGGGGUGGAAUCUGUAGAUAUUUGGAAGAACACCGGUGGCGAAGGCGGGUUUCUGGCCGAUAAUUGACGCUGAGAUGCGAAAGUGUGGGGAUCGAACAGGAUUAGAUACCCUGGUAGUCCACACUGUAAACGAUGUACACUAGGUGUUGGGGCAAGAGCUUCAGUGCCAAAGCAAACGCGAUAAGUGUACCGCCUGGGGAGUAUGCCCGCAAGGGUGAAACUCAAAGGAAUUGACGGGGGCCCGCACAAG
rnacentral:rRNA from 1 species